AAAUAACAAUAUGACUGAGGUACAAUAGGUUAUUUUGCACAUAGAAGGGUGGAUACCAUGUUAAACUGACAGUGUCUUUUAUCCUUCUUAUAAUAUGAGGCCUGAUAGGGUCCUCAAUAUAUGUAAAUUAUACAGUUUGCCUCUGAGGGCUGCGAUGUUCGAUUCGCAUAUUAGAAUAAAAUGCUAGUCCCGCUAAUGUUAAUGCAAUAUGUGUUCAAAUCAUGUUUUGCACUACUUUCAGCACUUUUCGCCGCAAUGUAGCAUUCAGCGGUUUCACCCCAAAAAAAAAAAAAGAAGGGCGAUGAAAAAUAAUUAUGGUUGCAAUCAAGUUACUACGAAAACCUAUUUGAUUAGCGGCCACUCUUUACUCAAAUUGCAGCUAUAAAAUUAAGAACAAUUCGCCUGUAAUGAUUAUGGACUGGAUUUAUUUUGGGAGGGUGGAAUAAAAGUGGAUAUAGCAUAAAUUAUCCCCUAAUUAUACGCCAGUGUCGCCUCAAUUAUCCUCAUCAAAAAUGGUUGUCUAAAUGCAGCGUUUAGUUUCAAUUUUCUCCUUUUCGGUAACAAGAACUUGGUACCUUGCUAUUAUCGCCCUGCUACGGUUGUUAUUUACUUUGUGGGAUUUAAAAGUGCACAACCCAGCCGGAUAAUCAUUUUACAGCAGCGGAUGAAGAGGGGAGCACAGAGGCAGGGAUGUGAGCCGCAAGACAUCCAGACGGACUUGCUUUUAUGCUUCCAGACUAGAUCCAUUGAAAUUGUAUUUUCUUUAAAAACCAGGGUGCUUCUUUGUCGUCAGGAGGGCUGCAGCCACUGCAUCUCUCCUCUCCAUAUUCCUCUUCAUACCCCUCUCUUCCUCUCCCCUCAACCUCGCUCCCUCUCGCUAACCCCCACACCUCUCUCCCCCUUUUCCUUCCCUUCACUACCACCCCCUCUCCCUCCCCCCAAUAGGUACGCCUCCAUCCCCUCUUGGCAGCUCCAUCUCCUUCCCCCCUGUCUCUCCUCCCUCUCCCUGGUUGGUUUCCACAGCUGUGGUGAGUGAGGGGCAGAUGACCGGAGAAUUGGCCCCUGGGAGAGUGCUGAGCCAUCCUGGUGCUAUUAGGCUCGUGGCUAAUAAUAGGUGUUUCAGACCAGGGGAAGAUCAAUCAGGGGGAAUCAUGGGGAAUGUUCGGAGCAUCGCUUUUUACACAUCGGCCCAGAUGGAUGAAAUUACACAUGUCAGUUUUUAGUUGCAUUACUCCCAAAUUGGUUGUCUACUCUUUUUUUUACUCUCUCUCCCUCCCUCCCUCGCUCUCUCUCCUUUCUCCUUUCUCUCUCUUUGCCUUCAUUCAUGUGUCAGUGGCCUGCUAAAGGGAUUCAACGGUGAAAUCCCUGUCAUUUUUGUAUUUUCCCUGUUUAGCCCUCAGCCAGAAACUCUGUUGCCUGCAUAUGCACUCAGAAGAAAUUCGUUUUAGACCUAGUCUUAUGGCUCGGGCAAUUUUCAUGUUAAAGGCAAGUGUGGAACUGACAUUGUGUAUGUGCUCUGCAUGUAUUAUAAAACAAUUUGAUGGACUCUCGCAAACACCCAGAGUACAGUCAAAGCGACAAACAGAAAAUGUAUUGUAUGUAAUGUAACUAUUUUGAUUAUUUUGAUUAAUUAUUUCACAGAUUUUUUAAUGCAAAAUGACAGCUGUUCCAAGGUGAGCAUUUGCAGCUUUUGUCUGUUUCAUAUCACAGUAAGCCGAAUAUCUUUCGGGGUAUUUAGACCGUGAACUAGACGUUUUAAGAUAUAACCUUGCAUUCUAGGGAACAUUUCAUAGAAUAGUCCUCGUGUGAAAUACAGCCUUAGAAUUGUAACAUAUUUCUAAUGUUAAGUUGAUUUACACAAAUUUGUUUUAAAAGCAAUUUCAUAAAUGUGUUAAGUACAAUAAUUGUAUUGUCAUUUCAGAAAAAAUCGUGUAUAAUUGUAAUGUAAUUAAAUCUGUCAGGUGCAAAUGAAACCUUUGGUCUGUAUCUCACCGUUUGAAACUGAAUAAAAUUCCCCACACAAUACUCACUCUCUUUGGUGUUUGAUUUAAACAUUCAUUAAAUG
rnacentral:lncRNA from 1 species